GGGCGGUUAGUUCACCGGUUAGAACGCCUCGUUGACAUCGAGGAAGUAACAGGUCCGAUUCCUGUACCGCCCACCA
rnacentral:tRNA from 2 species